rnacentral:tRNA from 1 species
UCUCCCAUAGCUUAGUUGGUAGAGCGCAAUGCUUAUAUGACGACAUUCUUCCUUCGGGGGAAGUCGAUAUACUGUGGUAGCACACCCCUCUCAGAGGUUACGUUGAUGUCAGGGGUUCGAGCCCCCUUGGGAGAA